rnacentral:misc_RNA from 1 species
GAUGAAGAACGUAGCGAAAUGCGAUAAGUAAUGUGAAUUGCAGAAUUCAGUGAAUCAUCGAAUCUUUGAACGCACAUUGCGCCCCUUGGUAUUCCGAGGGGCAUGCCUGUUCGAGCGUCAUUAUAACCCCUCAAGCUCAGCUUGGUGUUGGGGCCUGCUGCACUGGCAGCUCUUAAAAUCAGUGGCGGCGCCAUCUGGCUCUAAGCGUAGUAAUUCUUCUCGCUAUGGAGUCCUGGUGGAUGCUUGCCAUCAACCCCCAAUUUUUCUAUGGUUGACCUCGGAUCAGGUAGGGAUACCCGCUGAACUUAAGCAUAUCAAUAAGCGGAGGA